CUUCAUAAGGGUUCUCCUCUCCAGUAUCCAGCGCCAGUUUGUUAUACUCACUCCGGUUCAUCUCCCACUGGUCACGCUGGUUCCCGCGGCAGAGCUCCUCUCCACGUUCCACGCUGGUCCCGCCGUCCUCAGCGCCCACGCCUCACUCCACGGUGAUCCCACCGUCCUCGGCAUCCAGGCUUUGCCUCCAGUCGCUCCGCCGUCCUCAGCGUCCCGCUCGACCUCAAGUUGGUUCCGCCGUCCUCGGCUCCCCCCACGCUACGCUCCUCAGGUUCCACGGUCCGCCGCGCUCCUGGGACAUCAGAUCUUCAUCCGAAGAUUAUUCAAGCUACGCUCUCUUGGAGACUCUGUAAACCCCCAGGAGAAUUAAAACCUCUUUGCAAACUA